UGGAAGUACCCAAAUGUCCACUGUCCACUGAUGAAUGAAUGGAUAAGCAAUAUAUGCUCUUUUAGUGUGGCAUGGCAGAAAGAACAAUGUAUAUGCCCACACAAAUACCUGCUGAUGGAGAUACAAAUGUGAUAGAAAAACAUCUCCUGAGAGAGACAUUUGAGGACUCCAAUUGGAUACUCAAAGAGAUUCUCUGGUGACCAAAAGGAGCCUUCAGUGAUCAAAUAACUUCAGUUAAGAAUUCCUGGUUUAAGAUUUUACAGGAAUACAUUGAACAUCAGGUUGAUGAUGCAAUGAUGGCAAAUGCAGCCCAGAAAUUUCCCUUCAAUAUUCCUAAAAGCAAAGAAGGAUAUUAAUAUCAUCAAAUCUUUGAAUGCCAUUACCCAGGCCAGGCUGACUGGCUGAGCCAUUACUGGAUGCCCAAGUGGAUCAAUGCCACUGACCCUUCUGCCCACACACUGACCCACUACAAGUCAGCUGCCAAAGCUUAAGUGCUCUUUAUGCUGUAAUGUGAAAGCAAAUAUUUCUUCUUGCUGCGUGGGGAUUAUGGAUAGAUAGGGGAACAAUGACAGUCAAUUCAGGCUAACUUGGGUGUGAAAAAAAUAAAAGUCC
rnacentral:lncRNA from 1 species